GUAUCUGAAGUCUGACGAGGAUGAGAACCUCCGGGGGCAAGAGGUUCGACUCGAGCAAAGCGAGAGAACGUUGCGUCAGCAACGGCCCGCAGUGGCAAGUCAUCCUCUGUCACCGGCAG
rnacentral:sRNA from 1 species